rnacentral:rRNA from 1 species
GACGAACGCUGGCGGCGUGCCUAAUACAUGCGAGUUGAGCGCUGAAGGUUGGUACUUGUACCAACUGGAUGAGCAGCGAACGGGUGAGUAACGCGUGGGGAAUCUGCCUUUGAGCGGGGGACAACAUUUGGAAACGAAUGCUAAUACCGCAUAAAAACUUUAAACACAAGUUUUAAGUUUGAAAGAUGCAAUUGCAUCACUCAAAGAUGAUCCCGCGUUGUAUUAGCUAGUUGGUGAGGUAAAGGCUCACCAAGGCGAUGAUACAUAGCCGACCUGAGAGGGUGAUCGGCCACAUUGGGACUGAGACACGGCCCAAACUCCUACGGGAGGCAGCAGUAGGGAAUCUUCGGCAAUCGACGAAAGUCUGACCGAGCAACGCCGCGUGAGUGAAGAAGGGUUUCGGAUCGUAAAACUCUGUUGGUAGAGAAGAACGUUGGUGAGAGUGGAAAGCUCAUCAAGUGACGGUAACUACCCAGAAAGGGACGGCUAACUACGUG